rnacentral:sRNA from 1 species
GGAGCUCAUCGGUGAAAUUCUCAGUGGGCAAUGAAAAAGAAGAAGCAACGUGGUGACAUGUGAUUCUCAGAAACAUAAGAAGACAUGAGAUUCAGAUCACAGAUUUUUCCUUCUUCGUUUGUAGUAUGUAGCGACAACCCAUAUUCGCUGUCAUUGUCGCUCAUAGACCACUGCGGUUUCAGAUCCCAAACUAUUUACAAACCAACAAACUAAUUAUUUUUCUAUAUUUCUAAGGACUCAACAUAAAUCAAUUUCUUUACAUUGUCGUCCACUUUCUCC